rnacentral:tRNA from 1 species
GGAAGCGUGGCCGAGUGGCUUAAGGCAGUGCUCUUGAAAAGCACCGAGGGCUGAAACCCUCCGUGAGUUCGAAUCUCACCGCUUCCGCCA